rnacentral:rRNA from 1 species
CGUGUAGGCGGAGAAGUAAGUCGGGCGUGAAAUCCCCAGGCUCAACCUGGGAACUGCACUCGAAACUACUUCCCUUGAGUGUCGGAGAGGAAAGCGGAAUACCUGGUGUAGAGGUGAAAUUCGUAGAUAUCAGGUGGAACACCAGUGGCGAAGGCGGCUUUCUGGACGAUAACUGACGCUGAGACGCGAAAGCGUGGGGAGCAAACA